AUGGCGAUAAGCAGCGGCGACAGUGGCGGCGGCGUCCUGGAGCAGGAGGAUUCCUUGCUGUUCCGGCUGGGCACAGGCCAGAGAGAUGAUUCUGACAUUUGGGAUGAUACAGCAUUGAGAAAAGCAUAUGAUAAAGCUGUGGCUUCAUUUAAGCAUGCUCUAAAGAAUGGUGACAUUUGUGAAACUUCAGGUAAACCCAAAGCCACACCUAACAGAAAACCUGCUAAGAAGAAUAAACGCCAAAAGAAGAAUACUGCAGCUCCCUUAAAACAGUGGAAAGUUGGAGACAAAUGUUCUGUCAUUAGGUCAGAAGAUGGUUGCAUUUACCCACUACCAUUGCUUCAAUUGAUUUUAAGAGAGAAACCUGUGUUGUGAUUUACUCUGGAUAUGGCAAUAGAGAGGAGCAAAAUCUGUCCGAUCUACUUUCCCCAAUCUCUGAAGUAGCUAAUAAUAUAGAACAGAAUGCUCAAGAGAAUGAAAAUGAAAGCCAAGUUUCAACAGAUGAAAGUGAGAACUCCAGGUCUCCUGGAAAUAAAUCAGAUAACAUCAAGUCCAAAUCUGCUCGGUGGAACUCUUUUCUCCCUCCACACCCCCACCCCCAUGCCAGGGCCAAGACUUGGACCAGGAAAGCCAGGUCUAAAAUUCAAUGGCCCACCACCACCACCGCCAGCACCACCACCCCACUUACUAUCAUGCUGGCUGCCUCCAUUUCCUUCUGGACCACCAAAAAUUCCCCCACCACCUCCCAUAUGUCCAGAUUAUCUUGAUGAUGCUGAUGCUUUGGGAAGUAUGUUAAUUUUGUGGUACAUGAGUGGCUAUCAUACUGGCUAUUACAUGGGUUUCAGACAAAAUCAAAAAGAAGGAAGGUGCUCACAUUCCUUAAAUUAAGGAGAAAUGCUGGCAUAGAGCAGCACUAAAUGACACCAUUAGAGAAACGAUCAGACAGAUCUGGAAUGUGAAGCGUUAUAGAAGAUAACUGGCCUCAUUUCUUCAAAAUACCGGUGUUGGGAAAGAAAAAAGGAAGUGGAGUGGGUAACUCUUCUAGAUUAAAAGUUAUGUAAUAACCAAA